CAGUCGCCACGGGAAUACAGAGGGUGCAAGCGUUAAUCGGAAUUACUGGGCGUAAAGCGCGCGUAGGUGGUUUGUUAAGUUGGAUGUGAAAUCCCCGGGCUCAACCUGGGAACUGCAUUUAAAACUGACUGACUAGAGUAUGGUAGAGGGUGGUGGAAUUUCCUGUGUAGCGGUGAAAUGCGUAGAUAUAGGAAGGAACACCAGUGGCGAAGGCGACCACCUGGACUAAUACUGACACUGAGGUGCGAAAGCGUGGGGAGCAAACAGGAUUAGAUACCCCGGUAGUCCCUGUCUCUUAUAC
rnacentral:rRNA from 1 species